AGAAAAUUGAGAGAGUGAGCACAGUGGGAAAAUGCAGAAGAGAACUUUUCCAACAUUUUCAGCACACAUUUUCCCCCAGUCUUGAGCUGAUGGUCGUGCUUGAAAGACAUUCUCUUCUCCCACAUACGAAUUCGGCAAAAGAGAAGUCGGUCACACGUCGCACCUCAUCCCACCCCUAAAGCCUAACUCUCGUGUAACAAAAUCUUGACCUCUGGGGUGAAAAUUUACAUUCACUCCCGCUUUGGUGAAGUGCGUGUGUGUGCCCAGAAAUAGCCCGGAAAAGUGACUGUCAGGUGUAAAAAUUGACCUAGAAAGAGAAUUUCUGAAGAGGGGUAUACAUCGCGUGUGUCUGCUGUGAAUUUUUAUAGUUUCUCCGCGGAUGGGGUGAAAAUCAAUUCUCCCGGAAGUUGUGCAAAAAAAAACAAAUCCAGAUACUCUCCUUGCUCCAGAUAACAUUCUCUGAGGGUGAUUUGUGCAAUAUUAUUUGUGCAUUUUGUGCGCACCACCGACAACCUUUAGCCCGCACGUGAAGGACACUGGGGAUAGUUUACGUUCUAUACAAGGUUCCAUUGCACCAGCUGAACUUCAUCAAUAUCACGAGUGCGAAACAGAGAGACUUUUAAUUAAAAAACUCCCAAAUAAAAAAAAA